CUCCGUUCCAGGGCUCUCCGGGGCUCGGACUCCGGUCCUAUCACUCUACUUGGGAAGUCCGAGCAUCCUCUCUCUCCUUCCUGUGACGGUGGCAGCUGCAGUCCAGCCGCCUCUGUCUCUUUAAGAGAGAGAGAGAGAAAGAGCAAGAUCAGGAAGUGUGAGAGGGCUGAGCGCCUGGCUGGACGCUGAGCUCAGUGUCUGCCUCUCCGGAAGGCAGGGAGGAAACCCCAGGCUCCAGAUCUCCCGGCUCCCAGCAGCACACGGCCCCUUCCAGCGGCCCAGUCCUCAGGUCCCUGGGGCCCACGGCCACCAGGAUGCCAUGGGCGCUGCCCAUGAGUGACAGCAAACCCUGAGAGCUCUGCGGGUGCCGCCCAGUCCCACAGCUGAGAUGGGCUCAGCGCCUGGACUUGCCACAGACGGAAAGCAUAGCACAUACUCACCGCCCGGGAGAGUCUCUGCCUGAUCCAGGGCUGCUCAGAGCUCGGGUACAAGGUGGCUGGCCAGCCAGGGGCAGGAGAUGCUGAGCACUGUCAAUUACCUGUGGCACACGGACGACCUGCUGGGGCAGGGGGCCACUGCCAGUGUGUACAAGGCCCGGAACAAGAAAUCCGGGGAGCUGGUUGCUGUGAAGGUCUUCAACACCGCCAGCUACCUGCGACCCCGAGAGGUGCAGGGGAGGGAGUUUGAGGUCCUGCGGAAGCUGAACCACCCGAACAUCGUCAAGCUCUUUGCCGUGGAGGAGACGGGGAACAGCCGGCAGAAGGUGCUGGUGAUGGAGUACUGCUCCAGUGGGAGCCUGCUGAGUGUGCUGGAGAGCCCGGAGCACAGCUUCGGGCUGCCUGAGGAGGAGUUCCUGGUGGUGCUGCGCUGUGUGGCGGCUGGCAUGAACCACUUGCGGGAGAAUGGCAUCGUCCACCGCGACAUCAAGCCCGGGAACAUCAUGCGCCUCGUGGGGGGGGAGGGGCAGAGCAUCUACAAACUGACCGACUUCGGGGCUGCCCGUGAGCUGGACGACGAUGAGCAGUUCGUCUCCGUCUACGGGACUGAGGAGUAUCUGCAUCCUGACAUGUAUGAGCGGGCGGUUCUUCGCAAGCCCCAGCAGAAGGCAUUUGGGGUGACUGUGGAUCUCUGGAGCACUGGAGUGACCCUGUACCAUGCCGCCACCGGCAGCCUGCCCUUCGUGCCCUUUGGUGGGCCCCGGCGCAAUAAGGAGAUCAUGUACCGGAUCAUCACAGAGAAGCCGGCCGGGGCCAUUGCCGGCACACAGAAGCGGGAAAAUGGGCCCCUGGAGUGGAGUUACACCCUCCCCAUCACCUGCCAGCUGUCCAUGGGUCUGCAGAGCCAGCUGGUGCCCAUCCUGGCCAACAUCCUGGAGGUGGAGCAAGCCAAGUGCUGGGGCUUCGACCAGUUCUUUGCAGAGACCAGUGACAUCCUGCAGCGCGUUGUCGUCCAUGUCUUCUCCCUGUCCCAGGUGGUCCUGCACCAUGUCUACAUCCAUGUCCACAACACGGUAGCCAUCUUUCUGGAGGCUGUGUAUGAGCAGACCAGCGUGGCCCCCCAGCACCAGGAGUACCUCUUUGAGGGUCACUGCUGUGUUCUCAAGCCCAACCUCUCGGCAAAGCACAUCGCCCACACGACAGCAAGCAGCCCCCUGGUCCUGUUCAGCAUAGCCAACGAGACCCCCAAGGGGCUGGCCUUCCGGGACCCUGCUCUGGACAUUCCCAAGUUUGUCCCCAAAGUGGACCUGCAGGCAGAUUACAACACAGCCAAGGGUGUGCUGGGCGCUGGCUACCAGGCCUUGCGGCUGGCCCGGGCCCUGCUGGCUGGGCAGGAACUAACACUUCGGGGGCUCCACUGGUUCUUGGAGGUGCUCCAGGCCUCCUGCAAGCGGACCCUGGAGGUCACACGGGUGGCCCUGCUCUUCCUCAGCAGCAGCCUGGGCACAGAGAGGCUCAGUGACAUGGCUGAGGUGCGUGGGACCCAGGAGCUGAGGAGGGCCACGGAGCUGAGGACCCAGCUGCGGGCUCUGGCUGAGGUCCUCUCCAGGUGUUCCCACAACAUCACAGAGGCCCAGAUGAGCAUGGGCCACCUGAGCUUGGAGCUGGCGAAGAACCGGGAUCAGGUACAUGAGGACAGAAGCAUCCAGCAGAUUCAGUGUUGUUUGGACAAGAUGUACCUUACCUACAAACAGUUCAGGAAGUCCAGGAUGAGGCCAGGGCUUGGCUACAAUGAGGAGCAGAUUCACAAGCUGGAUAAGGUGAAUUUUAGUCAUUUAGCCAAAAGGCUCUUGAAGGUAUUCCAGGAGGAGUGUGUGCAGAAGUAUCAGGCAUCUCUGGUCGCGCACGGCAAGCGGAUGAGGGAGGUCCAUGAUACCAGGAACCACCUGUGCCAGGUGGGCUGUUCCGUGGCCGCCUGUAGCACCAAAGCCCAGGAAGCCCAGGAGAGCCUCAGCAAGAUCCUUGACCAGCUAUCGCACCAGCUCCUUCAGGACAGAGCAGAAGGGGCUGAGGCGUCACUGCUCCCAGUAACUGCUUAUCCCAUCCCUGCACCAAUGGACCUGGUCCUCCACAUGCAAGAGCUCUAUGAGGAGAUGAAGCUGGUGGCAUUUGACCUUCAGGACAACAACCGCAUCAUUGAAGGAAGAAACGUGGCAAAGAGCAGAGUGCCCACCUCUCCUGUAACCAAGGAAGCACAUUGGAGAGGGGAAACCCCUACCAUCUAGCAGCCGCACUUCAUAAAGCAUGUUCUUCGACGCAAACAGGAAGGGGGGACAUAAUCUCAGAAUCAAGGACGGUCCUUGCCCUGAAGGUUAAACAGGGUCCCCUCAGCUCCUGACGUCUGAGCUCCGUGGGGUGUACGCGUCAUCCGGAAGCAUUAAAAUCAUGCACACGUUGCCCCUGCCUGCACCGUGGGACCCAGCACAGGACUCCAUGCAGCCCCAUCUCAUCAGCCUGCCUCCUCCCUGGCUGACAGCUGGGCUGUGGCACCAGCCUCCCCUCCUGCUGCCUUUCUGCGGGAAGCCCCAGGCCAUCUCCUUCAGGACCCUCGGCCGGGCGUCUCAUGCAGACUCGGGUACAGCUCCCCCGUUGCCCUGGCCUGUGUGGCUGAACCUGGAGAAAGGCGAUGAUGGGCCCUGCCACCCACUGCCCUGGUAUAAGGAGCACCGCUUUUCGGGGAGCAGCAGAGGAGGCUCCCUCUGGUCUCCCCAGGGCACUGCAUCAGCAGACCUCACUUCGGUCUUCCUCCCCCUAAGCUGUCUCUGGUUGAACAUACAGCCCCCUCCCCUCUCCUCUUUUCUGAGGGUCACCGUACUCAGCCCCAGGCCGUACAGAUUCUGUUUUCUUUCCACUUUUGCUCCAGCUGAGCCUAAGGUUGAGAGAUCGGGUGGCCUUGGCCAGGCGCCAGGGCCUCAGGGAGCCCCUCUUCUCUCUCUGAGGCACUAGCAGUUUCAGGGACAUGCAGCCAGCAGGUGUCAGCAGUAGCCAUGCAGAUUAGCACAGGCCUGCACGCCCGCAGCCCUGGGAGGACACACAGGCUGUACCCUUCAGAAGUGGAAUAAACAUGGUCUCCUUUUCUA